rnacentral:rRNA from 1 species
UACGGGGGGGGCAAGCGUUGUUCGGAAUUACUGGGCGUAAAGGGCUUGUAGGUGGCCAACUAAGUCAGACGUGAAAUCCCUCGGCUUAACCGGGGAACUGCGUCUGAUACUGGAUGGCUUGAGUGUGGGAGAGGGAUGCGGAAUUCCAGGUGUAGCGGUGAAAUGCGUAGAUAUCGAGAGGAACACCUGCGGCGAAGGCGGGUUGCUGGGCUGACACUGACGCUGAUUGUGCGAAAGCUAGGGGAGCGAACGGG